rnacentral:rRNA from 1 species
AGUCAAUAGAUACCCAGGUAGUCCACGCCGUAAACGAUGAAUACUAGGUGUAGGAGGUAUCGACUCCUUCUGUGCCGCAGUUAACACAAUAAGUAUUCCGCCUGGGGAGUACGGUCGCAAGAUUAAAACUCAAAGGAAUUGACGGGGGCCCGCACAAGCAGCGGAGCAUGUGGUUUAAUUCGAAGCAACGCGAAGAACCUUACCCAGACUUGACAUCUCCUGAAUUAAUCGUAAUUGAUGAAAUCCCUUCGGGGACAGGAAGACAGGUGGUGCAUGGUUGUCGUCAGCUCGUGUCGUGAGAUGUUGGGUUAAGUCCCGCAACGGGCGCAACCCUUAUCAUUAGUUGCUAACAUUAAGUUGAGCACUCUAGUGAGACUGCCCGGGUUAACCGGGAGGAAGGUGGGGAUGACGUCAAAUCAUCAUGCCCCUUAUGUCUGGGGCUACACACGUGCUACAAUGGUGGGAACAAAGAGAUGCAAGACCGCGAGGUGGAGCCAAACUCAAAAACCCAUCCCAGUUCGGAUUGUAGGCUGAAACUCGCCUAC